GACGAACGCUGGCGGCGCGCUUAACACAUGCAAGUCGAACGGAAAGGCCCUGCUUUUGUGGGGUGCUCGAGUGGCGAACGGGUGAGUAACACGUGAGUAACCUGCCCUUGACUUUGGGAUAACUUCAGGAAACUGGGGCUAAUACCGGAUAGGAGCUCCUGCUGCAUGGUGGGGGUUGGAAAGUUUCGGCGGUUGGUGAUGGACUCGCGGCUUAUCAGCUUGUUGGUGGGGUAGUGGCUUACCAAGGCUUUGACGGGUAGCCGGCCUGAGAGGGUGACCGGCCACAUUGGGACCGAGAUACGGCCCAGACUCCUACGGGAGGCAGCAGUGGGGAAUAUUGCACAAUGGGCGGAAGCCUGAUGCAGCAACGCCGCGUGCGGGAUGACGGCCUUCGGGUUGUAGACCGCUUUCGCCUGUGACGAAGCGUGAGUGACGGUAAUGGGUAAAGAAGCACCGGCUAACUACGUG
rnacentral:rRNA from 1 species